rnacentral:rRNA from 1 species
CAAUAGCGUAUAUUUAAGUUGCUGCAGUUAAAAAGCUCGUAGUUGGAUUUCGGGUGGGAAUGGCCGGUCCGCCGUUUCGGUGUGCACUUGCUACGCCCACCUUGCUGCCGGGGACGGGCGCUUGAGUUCACGCUCGGGACACGGAGUCGGCGAGGUUACUUUGAGUAAAUUAGAGUGUUCAAAGCAGGCCUACGCUCUGAAUACAUUAGCAUGGAAUAACACGAUAGGACUCUGGCCUAUCUUGUUGGUCUGUAGGACCGGAGUAAUGAUUAAGAGGGACAGUCGGGGGCAUUCGUAUUUCAUUGUCAGAGGUGAAAUUCUUGGAUUUAUGAAAGACGAACUACUGCGAAAGCAUUUGCCAAGGAUGUUUUCAUUAA